rnacentral:rRNA from 1 species
GUAGGUGGCAAGCGUUGUCCGGAAUUAUUGGGCGUAAAGCGCGCGCAGGCGGUUCUUUAAGUCUGAUGUGAAAGCCCACGGCUCAACCGUGGAGGGUCAUUGGAAACUGGAGAACUUGAGUACAGAAGAGGAAAGCGGAAUUCCACGUGUAGCGGUGAAAUGCGUAGAGAUGUGGAGGAACACCAGUGGCGAAGGCGGCUUUCUGGUCUGUAACUGACGCUGAGGCGCGAAAGCGUGGGGAGCAAACAGGGAUUAGAUACCCUGGUAGUCCACGCCGUAAACGAUGAGUGCUAAGUGUUAGGGGGUUUCCGCCCCCUUAGUGCUGCAGCUAACGCAUUAAGCACUGCGCCUGGGAGUACGGCCGCAAGGCUG